CCCUUAGAUGUUCUGGGCCGCACGCGCGCUACACUGACGAAUGCAACGAGCUUAUAACCUUGGCCGAAAGGUCUGGGUAAUCUCCAAAUUUCGUCGUGAUGGGGAUAGAUUAUUGCAAUUAUUAAUCUUCAACGAGGAAUGCCUAGUAAGCGCAAGUCAUCAGCUUGCGUUGAUUACGUCCCUGCCCUUUGUACACACCGCCCGUCGCUCCUACCGAUUGAAUGGUCCGGUGAAGCGUUCGGACCGUGGCCUUUGGACGGUUCGCCGUCUGUUGGCUGCGGGAAGUUCGUUAAACCUUAUCAUUUAGAGGAAGGAGAAGUCGAACA
rnacentral:rRNA from 1 species